GAAUACCGAUACGCUGACCCUCCGAAAGGAGAUGGGGUAGCGCGGCGAUGUGCUCGGGUAGAAGCGAGGUCGUAAGGUCUCGUGGACCGUGUACAUAUGAGAAUCCAGGGAAGAGUAGCAGCAUAGUGUGGUGAGAAUCCGCACCACCGAAGGGGUAAGGGUUCCUCGGCAAUGUUUUUCAGCCGAGGGUUAGCCGGUCCUAAGGGCAUUCUUAACCGAAAUGUCCGAAUGGGAAAUGCGUUAAUAUUCGUAUGCCCCUCUACAAUAUAUGGUGACGGCUCGGGCUAGUUCGUGCAUUCCUGUCAUGGGAUGUCGAAGCGUUCGAUAACCGAUCUGAGAACCGUCAUGGUGAGAAGAUUGGGAAGGCGUGAGCAAAAGACGAAUGAUGCCUGGGUCCCAUGAAAAGCCGUAGAGGUGACCGUACCUAGAACUGACACAGGUACCCAAGGUGAGUAGCCUAAGGUGUGACGGGCAAAGUACCGCGAAGGAACUCGGCAAAAUCGCUCUGUAACUUCGGGAGAAGGAGUGCCAGCUUAGAGAUAAGCUGGUCGCAGUGACCAGAGGACUCCGACUGUUUAAUAAAAACAUAGGCGACUGCUAGAUCGAAAGGUUGUGUAUAGUCGCUGAAUCCUGCUCAGUGCUGGUAUCUGAAAUCGGGUUACAACCUGACGAAGGACCGGUAAACAGCGGGGGUAACUAUGACCCUCUUAAGGUAGCGUAAUACCUUGUCGCUUAAUUGGCGACUUGCAUGAAUGGCACAACGAGAGUCCUACUGUCUCCGCGGUACGUCCGGCGAAAUUGACAUUACUGGCGCACAGUCCAGUAACCUCAACCUGCAAGCGAAGACCCCGUAGAGCUUUACUGCAGCCUGGCGUUGUGCAGUCGCACAUUACGUGCUGAGUAGACGGGAGACGCUGAUCCUCGGGACGCCAGUUCCGAGAGUAGUCAUCCAUAGAGACACCGUCCUUAGUGUGUAACUGUACUAACUCUUCAUGAGAACACCGCUUGGUGGGCAGUUUGGGUGGGGCGCCACGCGCUCGAAAAAAUAACAAGCGUGCCCAAAGGUCAGCUUAGGUGGUUCAGUCUCCACCGUGAAAUGUAAGGGUAAAAGCUGGCUUGACGUGGAUCGGCAAAAUAACGAUCGACGAUGCGAAAGCAGGGCCUAUCGAACCAAUGUACCUCAUUUCUGGGGGUCAUUGAUAACAGAAAAGUUACCUCGGGGAUAAUUGAGUUGUCACCAGCAAGAGCACAUAUCGACCUGGUGGCUUGCUACUUCGAUGUCGUCUCUUCCCAACCUCCUGGUGCAGCAGCUGGGAAGGGUGGGGUUGUUCGCCCAUUAAAGGGGAUCGUGAGAUGGGUUUAGACCGUCGUGAGACAGGUUUGUUGCUUUGUGGUUGAGGCGUAUUGAUGCGUGAUCGGAAGGGCCCUUUAGUACGAGAGGAACGAGGGCUCGGGGCCACUAGUUUA
rnacentral:rRNA from 1 species